AUUCUGUCAGCUGUCUCAUUUGUUGCUGCGAUCAGUUUCUUGUUUUACGGACGAAGAUUGUUUGUAAUGCUGAGACAGUUCCCAAUUGAAUCUAAAGGAAGAAGUAAGAAGUUAUACGAGGUCUAUACUCCGAGGAAUGCGCCUUAUGCUAAUGAGGAAAUUGAUGUGGUUCGUGAGCAAUGGUCUAUACUCCGAGGAAUGCGCCUUAUUAUUGGCCUGAGCGCGCU